rnacentral:rRNA from 1 species
AGUAAUGUCUGGGAAACUGCCUGAUGGAGGGGGAUAACUACUGGAAACGGUAGCUAAUACCGCAUAACGUCGCAAGACCAAAGUGGGGGGACCUUCGGGGCCUCAUGCCAUCAGAUGUGCCCAGAUGGGAUUAGCUAGUAGGUGGGGUAACGGCUCACCUAGGCGACGAUCCCUAGCUGGUCUGAGAGGAUGACCAGCCACACUGGAACUGAGACACGGUCCAG